rfam:Thiomicrospira crunogena XCL-2, complete genome.
AGAAAAUUUUGCCAAACUUGUUGUGAAGCAAGGACGGAAAGCCAUGGGUCUCAAUGGUUGAGAUCGCCAGGUUGCCAAA